UUGUGUCGACAUCAGCGAUGCAUUACAGUUCCAUGGCCUACUACGGGUUCCAUGAGUGUUUCGUAUCACCACAACACUCCCCAUGCAGGGUUGCGUGAAACUCACUUCAGAAGCAUGCAAUCGAUCCAUUGACUGAAGAUUAUUGUUCAUGGCAGUCAACAGUGAUGCUGUCAGUGACCGCCACCCUUGUGCAGACAACGCUGAGCUACGAAGAGUCGAAGCCUGGUACGCAUCUCAUCUGAUUCUUCUCAUAUCCAAUGGUUCUCUUAUACAUUUACACCAUCGAAAGGAUUGUUUUUUGUUAGCGCACAGCUUGGAAUUCCUUUAUCAGAUUAUCUCAUUGUCCAGAUUCUGGUUGAUGAAGCAUCUGCAGAUUGCGAACUGAGCUGACUGUGAAGUGAUGAUCUGUUUUAAACGGAUUCCAUGUGUUUUCAGAAACUGGGUUAUGCACAACCCACAAGCAUUUUAGGCUUAGAAAUUAAACUGUACGAGAACAUCCCUUCGUUUUAGACAUUCUACAGCCAACUGCUUCAGUCUGUGCCUCACACUGUAGGCUCUUGGAAACUCCUUAUUCAAGUAGAAUGAUGUUUCUGCAUAUGAUUGGAUAUCAAGUUGGCUUAGGUUUCGGAAAGAUUGUGCUCUUGUUUUAAGGAACAUUUACAUGUCAAGUUAGUUCUGGAAUGUGAAAGAUGUGGUUUGAAUAGCUGCAUUUUUCCAUGGUAGGUUUUAUUUGUGGAUGGUAGAAAAUUUAAAAUGCAGUAUUUGAUGUCUUUUGUUUUUAAAAUUUUGAUUCGUUCGUUUGGUUUAUGUGAAGGCUAUAAUCUAAUAAUAGUUUCAUGUAGUUUUCAACUUCAUUGUAAACAAGAAUAAAAGAUGGAGUACAAGUGCUUUUAUUAAAAUAUGAAGAAAAGUAAACUGAGAUAAAGUAAGCAGCAUUGUAAUUUAGAGUAGUUUUAUUGAAUCAAGACAUGAAUGAAUUAAAAUUUAAUAUUUAUCAACGUGACUUAAUGUUUAAAACUUUACAUCCUAAAUCAGUGUUUUGUUAUAGUAUUAUUACAUUUCGUAUAAUAUUUGACGUUUUU
rnacentral:lncRNA from 1 species